CAGCAGCCGCGGUAAUACAGAGGAUGCAAGCGUUAUCCGGAAUGAUUGGGCGUAAAGCGUCUGUAGGUGGCUUUCCAAGUCCGCCGUCAAAUCCCAGGGCUCAACCCUGGACAGGCGGUGGAAACUACCAAGCUGGAGUACGGUAGGGGCAGAGGGAUUUUCCGGUGGAGCGGUGAAAUGCGUUGAGAUCGGAAAGAACACCAACGGCGAGAGCACUCUGCUGGGCCGACACUGACACUGAGAGACGAAAGCUAGGGGAGCAAAUGGGAUUGGAUACCCCCGUAGUCCCUGUCUCUUAUAA
rnacentral:rRNA from 1 species